UACGUAGGGGGCAAGCGUUGUCCGGAAUGAUUGGGCGUAAAGGGCGCGUAGGCGGCUUGGUAAGUUUGAAGUGAAAGUCCUUCUUUUAAGGAGGGAACUGCUUUGAAAACUGUCGGGCUUGAGUGCAGGAGAGGUAAGCGGAAUUCCCGGUGUAGCGGUGAAAUGCGUAGAGAUCGGGAGGAACACCAGUGGCGAAGGCGGCUUACUGGACUGUUACUGACGCUGAGGCGCGAAAGUGUGGGGAGCAAACAGG
rnacentral:rRNA from 1 species